CACGCAGGCGGUUUGUUAAGUCAGAUGUGAAAUCCCCGGGCUCAACCUGGGAACUGCAUUUGAAACUGGCAAGCUAGAGUCUCGUAGAGGGGGGUAGAAUUCCAGGUGUAGCGGUGAAAUGCGUAGAGAUCUGGAGGAAUACCGGUGGCGAAGGCGGCCCCUGGACGAAGACUGACGCUCAGGUGCGAAAGCGUGGGAAGCAAACA
rnacentral:rRNA from 1 species